rnacentral:rRNA from 1 species
UACCGGGCCAUACGGGGCGCAGCAGGCGCGAAACCUUUACACUGCACGAAAGUGCGAUAAGGGGACUCCAAGUGCGAGGGCAUAUAGUCCUCGCUUUUCACCACCGUAAGGUGGUAGUAGAAUAAGUGCUGGGCAAGACCGGUGCCAGCCGCCGCGGUAAUACCGGCAGCACGAGUGAUGACCGCUCUUAUUGGGCCUAAAGCGUCCGUAGCUACUUUCC